GCCAGACUCCUACGGGAGGCAGCAGUCGGGAAUAUUGCGCAAUGGAGGAAACUCUGACGCAGUGACGCCGCGUAUAGGAAGAAGGUUUUCGGAUUGUAAACUAUUGUCGUUAGGGAAGAGAAAGGACAGUACCUAAGGAGGAAGCUCCGGCUAACUACGUGCCAGCAGCCGCGGUAAUACGUAGGGGGCAAGCGUUAUCCGGAUUUACUGGGUGUAAAGGGAGCGUAGACGGCAUGGCAAGCCAGAUGUGAAAGACCGGGGCUCAACCCCGGGACUGCAUUUGGAACUGUUAAGCUGGAGUGUCGGAGAGGCAGGCGGAAUUCCUAGUGUAGCGGUGAAAUGCGUAGAUAUUAGGAGGAACACCAGUGGCGAAGGCGGCCUGCUGGACGAUAACUGACGUUGAGGCUCGAAAGCGUGGGGAGCAAACAGGAUUAGAUACCCGCGUA
rnacentral:rRNA from 1 species